rnacentral:rRNA from 1 species
UACGUAGGGUGCGAGCGUUGUCCGGAAUUAUUGGGCGUAAAGAGCUUGUAGGCGGUUUGUCGCGUCUGCUGUGAAAAUCCGGGGCUCAACCCCGGACUUGCAGUGGGUACGGGCAGACUAGAGUGUGGUAGGGGAGACUGGAAUUCCUGGUGUAGCGGUGAAAUGCGCAGAUAUCGGGAAGAACACCUAUGGCGAAGGCAGCUCUCUGGGACGGUACUGACGCUGAGACGCGAAAGCGUGGGGAGCGAACAGG